rnacentral:rRNA from 1 species
UACGUAGGGGGCAAGCGUUGUCCGGAAUCAUUGGGCGUAAAGAGCGUGUAGGCGGCCCGAUAAGUCCGCUGUGAAAGUCCAGGGCUCAACCCUGGGAUGCCGGUGGAUACUGUCGGGCUCGAGUCCGGAAGAGGCGAGUGGAAUUCCUGGUGUAGCGGUGGAAUGCGCAGAUAUCAGGAGGAACACCAAUGGCGAAGGCAGCACUCUGGGACGUGACUGACGCUGAGACGCGAAAGCGUGGGGAGCAAACAGG